GACGUGAGGCUGGAGUGGCUGCAGCCUCUUGCAGACAGUGGAGGCUCAGGCUAAGCCAGCAAGACCAAGAGGAGCACGGAGAGCUGGCAAGACGCUGGCCCGAUGAUAUCGCCUGAGCCGUGAAUCCUCCUGGCCAACGCCAGGGCUUCCUCAGGCUUUGUCAUUGCAGGGACACUUCCCUCCCUCCCUCCUUCUCUGUCUCUCUCCCCACUGCCUCUCUUUCUAGCUUAAGCCAAUUUGAGAUGGAUUUUCUGUCACUUGCUGUUGAAGGAGUCCUGGUCCAGCCCAGGUGGAUUUCGUGCAAAUGAAACCCACAUAAUGCAAGUCUGUGUGGAAGUGAUCGUCUGCGAUCGGCGCGUGCCCUUCGCCUUAUGAACAGGAGCCAUGGGUGACACGAGCGCCUCGGCUGGGCCGCCGGGGUCCGUCUGAGGUCCAUCUGUCUCCAGGGCACAGACCCCAGGCCUGGACAGAGCCGGGCACGUGUGAAACGGGAAGAUGUCAGCUGGGGAACCGGCCGCAGCUCCCAACCUUGAUGAGGAAAGAAACCUGGUAGCUGUUCCUGCAGAAAAGCCACAUGGCUCGCCGCCUAUCUCCACGAUGGUACCUGGCUUCUCCCAUCCUCACCGUCCACGUCUACUCCCUUCCCAUCCCAGACCCGAGACGCAGAAGGCUUUAGACAGAGCAGCUUCAUCAGGAAUCUGGACUGGGCUGAGGUACCUGCUCCCAGCUCCUCAAAGUGCCAUCCGGCACAUCCACCCACGUGGGACAAGAUGCAGCUUCCGUGGCUGCUUGCAGGGGAUGGAAGACUCCCACAGACGCCUGCUAACAUCACAUGCCCAAGUGUCACCGCGAUGCCACGUCCAGUCUGAGCCAUUCCUCGCCCAUGUCCCUGUCCUUGUUGCAUAGCCGGCCUCCAGCGUGUGGCUUCGUGCAGCGACCAGACCGUCGUGUGACUUUCUGCCACGGUUGCUGGGGUUGGCACUGGGGCAGACCUGCUGGGGGGUUCUGGGUUGCAGCUGGAGCGCUGGGACUGGCAGGACGCCUCUCUUCGUGCUGCCCCAGGGCCCAUCCACGUCGACUCCCGGCGUGAAGCGUGUGGGCUGCCUCACAGCCUGGCAGCUCCAGGACUGCUGGGGGCUCCCCCCGCGGCCCCGGCUCUGCUGGCAGCACUGGGCCAGAAGCAACUCACCUUCACACAGCCGCCCUGAAGGCACGUAGGUUCCGGAAGGGAACCUUGGGAAAUGGGAUUCGUGCCAUACUCAUGGGAGUCCCAAGCUCCCUCGCCCAUUUCACUCCAUGAGGAUAGGAGGGGACAGCUGCUGACGACCUGGCAGAGACCCUGCGCCAGGCCCCACCCCACCGGCACCCUGAUCUUGCACUUCCGGCCUCGAGAAUGCCCCCGCCCGGGAGGGUCUGAGCCAGGCAGCCUCCCCGGGAGCCGGUGCUGACACGGCCAGAGAAACCAUUCCAGACCCGGACCCCACUGUCCCCAACACCUGCGGGCCAGUGACUCAGGGCGGUGGAGAGAGCCAAGAGGAAGUGGAGGCUGAGUGGCCCUCCCCGGGGCUGGGGCCCGCCGUCUGGUUGUGUCUCCAGCCGCUGGUUUAGGGGAAUCGGGAGGGCUCACUUAAGCAUCCCUUCCCUGCGUGCUCUUCCAUCGCGGGACAGAAGACCCGACUGCUGCCAGCACCAAAGGGUGUUCCCACGGCACACGCCGCUUGGGCUCGGGCAGGCAGGGACCCCUCCUCGUGCCUCGGGAGCCUGGAGCUGUCGGCCCUGCAGCUGAGGACCACAGGAGGUCAGGGACAUGCAAGCUCAGUGCCCGAAGUCACUUCUAGAGUGCGAUUCGGUGUCCCUGAAGGUCCCAACUCUGCCCUGACACAUUACAGAAAAUGUCGCUGCCCCCUGGUGUGGAUGCUGGCCCGCCCCCGGGGAGGCUUCUGCCCCAUCACCCAGCCCAGCCCAUCCCAUCCCAACAGGACUCAGCCUCCAGUGGCUACCAUCAGACCCCACGGCAUGGUGACUGUCACUGCAGAGGGCUAGAGAGGGCCGCGUGUGGGACGGCAGGGGCCGACGGGGGGCUCUGCAUUCCCCAGUAACCCAGGUUUCUGCUGGGGCUGCUCCCCAGCUGCUCUGCUCCCCAGCUCCCUACAACGCGGAUUUAUUCUUAUUUCCCACAGGGAAGGCCUAACAAGGCUUGACCAAUCAGUGAAGGGCAUUCCCCAGACUGCUGGCUGUGACUGGGUCCCAGAUAAGCACGUGACCCACUAUGGGCCAAUGAAAGUCGCCUGAGACUUUUGCUUGCAUGGUUGCUGGGACGGUCCAAAGUCCUCAGUGGGGACGGCUGGCUGCAGCUGUCAGACUUGGAGCGUGAGGACAGAGCUGGGCCGGUUCCUCCCUGGGAUCUCCCCUCCCCGAGCACAGGCUCUGCUCUGCCCAGCCCCAUGCUGUCCCCUGUGCGACCGCUGUGGGCUUCCUGCCAGGCUCCUGCACCCUCCGGCUUCUGUUGGGUUCAGUUCUGGGAGGCAGCCCCGGAGUCUGGAGGGUGGAAGGAGUGAGGGGCAUCCCCUGUCCCCUCCCCACAGUCUUGGCAGUGGUUUCUUCUCUCCAGAGUUACUGUCCCUACCCCCUGUCCUCUCUCUGCAGCUCCAGCUCUUGCUGGGCGCCUGUGAUUCUCACCCCUGUCCCUUCAGGCCGUGGGGAGAAGAACAUCCCAGUGCGGUCACUUCCUGGAUCCAAUUCCUGGAUGCCCAGUGUCCGCCGGGUCUCCUGGAUUCACCGUGGUCACUGCCUGGAUGCCCAGUGUCCACUGGGUCUCCUGGAUCCAAUUCCUGGAUGCCCAGUGUCCGCCAGGUCUCCUGGAUUCACUGUGGUCCCUGCCUGGAUGCCCAGUGUCCUCCAGGUCUCCUGGAUUCACUUCCUGAAUGCCCAGUGUCUGCUAGGUCUCCUGGAUCCACUUCCUGGAUGCCCAGUGUCUGCCAAAUCUCCUGAAUUCACUUCCUGGAUGCCCAGUGUCCACCAGGUCUCCUGGAUUCUGCCUGUGUCCACGUGAGGGCACCAUCAAUUUCCUGCAAGGAUCCUGACAGUCAAGGUACAUCUAACCUGAGAGCAGGCAGGGGCUGGACUAUCCCCUAGAUCAAGCCAUGCCUGAAGCCCCACCUUUCAGUUGCCUGAGUCAACAGAUUCCCUUUUUGGGUUGAGCCAUUUCUAAUUGGAUUUUAUGUCUUACUGACUGAACUAUCAGGAUGGCCAGCAGUAAGGGGUUUCGUUUUGGAGGAUGAGGGACACAAAUGUCUCUUCUCCAAGGUGAGGAGAUGCCUGAAGGACAGGAGACACUCACAGGAGGCCCUGGAGACAGAUGUGCCUCACAGGCAUUCCUGAGGACCUGUGGCCUGGCAGCACAGAGACUGGGUGAAAACAGAACCUUGUGAUCUGCAAGUUCUGCCGCUGCCCUGUCUGUGUCUGUGAAGCAAAGUGUCCAGAAGGGGCCCGCGUGGAAGCUUCUGAGAGCGGUUAGGGGAACGGGGCCCCACGUCCUCCCCGGAGGGCUGGAGACAGAGGCAGGCCGUGCCCCCAGCCCAGAGUAGGGAGGAGGCUGGCAGGCGGCAGCUGUGGAAAGGAGGCGGAGCCCCCAGACUCCUGAGCCAGCAGAGGAAGGAGUGGGACAGAGCCCACCCCAGAGGGAGACAAGACCCCGGGGAAGAGACCCCUCAGGGUGGCCCCCCAGCCCCUCCCAGGCUCAGCUUUCAGCCUGCACCCCCGUCUGGUCCCUCAGAAUGACUGAGGUUUCCACUCUUUUUCUGCCAAAUCUCUAGACUCCACGUCCCCGCUCUGCCACCUACUCUCUGUGGGAUCUGAAUAAAGAGACUUAACCUUUAAAAAAAAAAAAAAAAAA
rnacentral:lncRNA from 1 species